UGAUGCAGCCAUGCCGCGUGUGUGAAGAAGGCCUUCGGGUUGUAAAGCACUUUCAGCGAGGAGGAAGGGUUCAGUGUUAAUAGCACUGUUCAUUGACGUUACUCGCAGAAGAAGCACCGGCUAACUCC
rnacentral:rRNA from 1 species